rnacentral:lncRNA from 1 species
GAAAAUAAAAGAAAUAUUAAGUAAAAUAUUCUAUUUUCUUAUAAAACAAUAUUUAUAGAGUUAUACGUAAAUAAUUUUUAUAGCGUAAAAGCUAAAUAAAUUUAUACAUACUUAAAUACAGUAAGCCAAAAUAUUUAAUUUAAUUUACAAUAACAAGAGUGCCCCCGAAUAAACAAAAGUAAAGAGGACUGUAAACCUACGGUUUGGAAAAUGCAGAUCCCACUGUAGUCCUCGAUGAGAUUAGCUAUCUACAGUCUAUACUGAACCUGAAAUGGGUGGAAAGGAGGGUGGUGAGAUUAUAAAAUCCCAAUGAGUAAACAGACAUCAUCAUAAACAUCUAGAGUUGAGUACAUGGAGAUAAUAAAGUAAAUCAUCAUAAACUGGGUUAUACAAUUAGAACACAUCUCGUUCAAAAUACGUAAAAAAAAAACUUAUGAAUCUCAUAAAAAUCUAGGCUUGUGCCAUAAAUCCAUUCUCGGGGACACCUUGGCCGAGGCAUCCUACCGAGACCGCCAAGGCUAUUAAAAUUCACAUUUCACAUAAAUCAUGUUUUUGUUUUGAAAACAUAGUCGUUCCUUGGCAUUGGCUGAGUUCCCCCUCACGUGGUGGUUUAGCGUGAAAUGAACCCUAAACUUUACCCCAAGAGAUACCCUACGUGCCUCUCCGUUCGAGGUAAGAAUAUAAUGGAGUUUACCGUGCCCCUCUAAAAGGCUAGUCCACAGAAACCCCCUACUGCAAUGAUUAAUUAAUAUAUAAUCCACCAUAUAAUAAAACUCAAUAACAUGAUAUGGCAAUUUUGUAAUUCGCAGUUUUUCAAGGCAACCAAACAAUUCGCAUUUCAAUACAAUUGCCAACUAGCCAAUCAUGCUCGAUUUAUCAUAAGCCAGUCAAUUUAAAUAAUCAAAUUGUCACAAUUAACAAUCUCCAUGUACUCUAUUUUUCGAAAUCAUUAUUAAUUUCAAAACAAUUUAUAAAUUAAUUUCAUUAAAACUCAUUUAUUCAUAAAACAUGAAAAUUUACCUUUUUAAAUUCCUUUUUCCAUAGAAUUCAUGAAAGCAUCUAAAAACCACCCUAGAUAAUUAAAAUGACAGUAAGUUUACUCACAAUGUCUAGAAUGCAGACUUUCGAAGCACUCUGUCUACUGGUCCUCGGAUGCAAUUUCCUUGCCUUUAUNNN